rnacentral:rRNA from 1 species
UGCAAGUCGAACGGCAGCACGGGAGCUUGCUCCUGGUGGCGAGUGGCGGACGGGUGAGUAACGCGUAGGAAUCCUACCCAGUAGGCGGGGAUACGGACCCGGGGAAACCCGGAUUAACUACCGCAUACCGACCCCGGGGGAAAGGCCCGGGAUCUUCGGACCGGUCACUAUUGGAUGAGCCUGCGUAGGAUUAGCUAGUUGGUGAGGUAAAGGCUCACCAAGGCGACGAUCCUUAGCUGGUCUGAGAGGACGAUCAGCCACACUGGAACUGAGACACGGUCCAGACUCC